rnacentral:rRNA from 1 species
ACACGUAUGGAACCUGCCCUAUGCAGGGGGAUAAGCGGAAGAAAUUCCGUCUAAUACCGCAUAACACCAUUUGGAGACAUCUCCAGGUGGUCAAAGGAGGCGACUCCGGCAUAGGAUGGCCAUGCGUCGCAUUAGCUAGUCGGCGGGGUAACGGCCCACCGAGGCGACGAUGCGUAGGGGUUCUGAGAGGAAGGUCCCCCACACUGGUACUGAGACACGGACCAGACUCCUACGGGAGGCAGCAGUGAGGAAUAUUGGUCAAUGGGCGCAAGCCUGAACCAGCCAAGUCGCGUGAGGGAAGACGGUCCUAUGGAUUGUAAACCUCUUUUGUCGGGGAGCAAAGCGCGGUACGAGUACCGCGAAGGAGAGUACCCGAAGAAAAAGCAUCGGCUAACUCCGUGCCAGCAGCCGCGGUAAUACGGAGGAUGCGAGCGUUAUCCGGAUUUAUUGGGUUUAAAGGGUGCGUAGGCGGAUUUGUAAGUCAGCGGUAAAAAUGCGGUGCUCAACGCCGUAUCGCCGUUGAAACUGCAGGUCUUGAGUGAGCGAGAAGUAUGCGGAAUGCGUGGUGUAGCGGUGAAAUGCAUAGAUAUCACGCAGAACUCCGAUUGUGAAGGCAGCAUACCGGCGCUCAACUGACGCUGAGGCACGAAAGCGUGGGGAUCGAACAGGAUUAGAUACCCUGGUAGUCCACGCAGUAAACGAU